CACUACUUCGUUGUCCUUCCCCUGCUUCUGUUUUCUCUGCUGGCAUUACUUGAUGUUGGUCUUUGGCAGUCGUUUCAGUGAUUGAAAAACAGCGUUUUUGUUGCAAAAAGUCUUGAAUUUAAAAAUGGUGUAUAAGAGGAUGGCUUAUGGUCCUGUACGAUAAGUUGCCUUCUCAAUGCAGGGAGAGUCCUUGAUUGGAGCAACAGCAAAGGAUAGUGUGCUGCAGCGAAAGAGAACAGACUCCAGGUUUAAUGAAGAAAUUUGGAAUCCAAAAAGAUGGAAGCUGUAAGCCUUGGACUGUGUUAAAAUUUGUUUGAAUUAUUGGUGUGACAUACAGAAAAGGUCCAUUGUAUUGUCUCUGUUCCUGCAAUACAUAAAAGGAGAGUCUGCACAAGUGUUUUUUCCAAUAAACUUUCAUUAAUGUACAAA